rfam:Hordeum vulgare subsp. vulgare, WGS project CAJW01000000 data, contig: morex_contig_50722
CAUAUACUAUCUUCGUCCCAAAAUUCUUAUCUAAGAUUUAUCUAGAUACGGAUGAAUCUAACACUAAAAUGUAACUAGAUAAAUUUAUAUUUAAAGAAAUCUAGGACAAGAAUUUUGGGACGGAGGGAGUAUUGA